GGCUUUCUUCUUCGGGAGGGGGCCGAGUGGCGGACGGGUGAGUAGCACGUGGAUGACGUGCCCUGAUGUGGGGGAUACCCUUCAGAAAUGAGGGUUAAUACCGCAUACGAUCGUCUGGGUCAAGCCGGGCGAGGAAAGGCUUCGGCCGCUAGAGGAGGGGCUUGCGGCCUAUCAGGUAGUUGGUGGGGUAAUGGCCUACCAAGCCGAGGGCGAGUAGCUGGUCUUAGAGGACGAUCAGCCAGACGGGGAUUGAUUUCCGGCCCCGACGAAUACGCGAGGCAUUCUNCUCGAUCUUGCUGGUAACUCANUCCUCCCGGAGAUCUGCG
rnacentral:sRNA from 1 species